UACGGGGGGAGCAAGCGUUGUUCGGAUUUACUGGGCGUAAAGGGCGCGUAGGCGGUCACUACAAGUCAGUUGUGAAAUCUCUGGGCUUAACUCAGAACGGUCAACUGAUACUGUCGGACUAGAGUGCAGAAGGGGCAACUGGAAUUCUCGGUGUAGCGGUGAAAUGCGUAGAUAUCGAGAGGAACACCUGCGGCGAAGGCGGGUUGCUGGGCUGACACUGACGCUGAGGCGCGAAAGCGUGGGGAGCGAACAGG
rnacentral:rRNA from 1 species